CCUUCGGUAGCUCAGUUGGUAGAGCGGUGGACUGUAGUAUUCAGAAUAUUGAAAUCCAUAGGUCGCUGGUUCAAAUCCGGCCCGAAGGA
rnacentral:tRNA from 1 species